UCCUGCGCAACCUCGAUCCAAUCCAGCCAUGUCUUCCAAGCAAGGUGGAAAGGCCAAGCCCUUGAAGCAACCUAAAGCCGAAAAGAAAGAGUACGACGAGAUUGAUAAAGCUAAUAUUCAGAAGAAGAAAGAUGAGGAAAAGG